rnacentral:rRNA from 1 species
UACAGAGGGGGCAAGCGUUGUUCGGAUUUACUGGGCGUAAAGGGCGCGUAGGCGGCCACCGCAAUCCGACUGUGAAAUCUCCGGGCUUAACCCGGAAAGGCCAGCCGAUACUGCGGGGCUAGAGUGCAGAAGGGGCAACUGGAAUUCUCGGUGUAGCGGUGAAAUGCGUAGAUAUCGAGAGGAACACCUGCGGCGAAGGCGGGUUGCUGGGCUGACACUGACGCUGAUGCGCGAAAGCUAGGGGAGCGAACGGG